rnacentral:lncRNA from 1 species
CGAAACAGUUGAAGCCGCAGAAGAAUCUUCCGUACGCAGAACAUUGCUCCGGUGUUCCCACUGUCCUUAAAUUGCAGCGACCGAGUCAAUCACUCACUCAACGCCGAGUCAGUGACUCAGUAACAACAACGUAGUAGUAAGAACGAAACAUCACAUUCAUAAUAGGGUCCACCCAACACCAUCAUCAUUCACCACCUUCCAAAACCUCUCUCUCUCUCAAAUCCAAUCCCCAUUCCCAUGUGAUGUGAUUAUCAUAAUUUCGUGAACUAAAAUUUGUUUCCUUUUUUCUCCAUUCUCCUGAAUCCCAAUUCCCAAUCUCUUUCUUACCCUUUUUUUUCUUCCUUUCACUUUCUCACACUUUCUUUUUAUCCCUACUGUUUCUUCUUUUUCUUUUUGAACACUUUCAAAAUCUUUUUUUUUUUGGUUUACUUCAUCUUUCUAAAAUUUGUUUUCUCCAUUCUCCUGAAUCCCAAUUCCCAAUCUCUUUCUUACCCUUUUUUUUCUUCCUUUCACUUUCUCACACUUUCUUUUUAUCCCUACUGUUUCUUCUUUUUCUUUUU